UUGGGUUAAGUCCCGCAACGAGCGCAACCCCCUGUGGUUAGUUGCCAGCAAGUAGCGUUGGGCACUCUAGCCAGACUGCCGGUGCUAAAUCGGAGGAAGGUGGGGACGACGUCAAAUCAUCAUGCCCUUUAUGUCCUGGGCUACACACGUACUACAAUGGCCGUUACAACGGGAAGCGAAGGAGCAAUCCGGAGCAAAUCCCUUAAAGGCGGUCCCAGUUCAGAUUGUGGGCUGAAACUCGCCCACAUGAAGGCGGAAUUGCUAGUAAUUGCAGAUCAGCAUGCUGCCAGUCGAAUACGUUCCCGGGCCUU
rnacentral:rRNA from 1 species